rnacentral:rRNA from 1 species
AUUGAACGCUGGCGGCACGCUUUACACGUGCAAGUCGAACGGCAGCGCGGGCUUCGGCCUGGCGGCGAGUGGCGAACGGGUGAGUAAUACAUCGGAACGUGCCCAGUAGUGGGGGAUAGCUCGGCGAAAGCCGGAUUAAUACCGCAAACGACCUGAGGGUGAAAGCGGGGGAUCUUCGGACCUCGCGCUAUUGGAGCGGCCGAUGGCAGAUUAGCUAGUUGGUGGGGUAAAGGCCUACCAAGGCGACGAUCUGUAGCUGGUCUGAGAGGACGACCAGCCACACUGGGACUGAGACACGGCCCAGACUCCUACGGGAGGCAGCAGUGGGGAAUUUUGGACAAUGGGCGAAAGCCUGAUCCAGCAAUGCCGCGUGUGUGAUGAAGGCCUUCGGGUUGUAAAGCACUUUUGGCGGGAACGAAAAGGACUGUGCCAAUACCACGGUUCGAUGACGGUACCCGCAGAAUAAGCACCGGCUAACUACGUG